GUCCACAUCAUGUUGAAACACCGGUACCCGUACGAUCACCGAAGUUAAACUAGUUUGAGCCUGGUCAGUACCUAGAUCGGCGACCACUUGGAAAUAUUGGA